rnacentral:rRNA from 1 species
GGCGGCAAGCUUAACACAUGCAAGUCGAACGCCCUCUUCGGAGGGAGUGGCAGACGGGUGAGUAACGCGUGGGAACGUGCCUUUUGGUUCGGAACAACUGAGGGAAACUUCAGCUAAAACCGGAUAAGCCCUUCGGGGGAAAGUUUACGCCAAAAGAUCGGCCCGCGUUAGAUUAGCUAGUUGGUGGGGUAAUGGCCUACCAAGGCGACGAUCUAUAGCUGUUCUGAGAGGAAGAUCAGCCACACUGGGACUGAGACACGGCCCAGACUCCUACGGGAGGCAGCAGUGGGGAAUAUUGGACAAUGGGCGCAAGCCUGAUCCAGCUAUGCCGCGUGGAUGAAGAAGGCCCUAGGGUUGUAAAGUCCUUUCGCUAGGGAAGAUAAUGACGGUAC